rnacentral:rRNA from 1 species
AGGAUGAACGCUGGCGGCGUGCCUAAUACAUGCAAGUCGAGCGGUAAGGUUCUCACUCUGUAUUUAACGAGUUUGAAUAUAGUGUGAGAAUACACGAGCGGCGGACGGCUGAGUAACACGUAGGAACGUACCCCAAAGUGAGGGAUAAGCACCAGAAAUGGUGUCUAAUACCGCAUGUGCUCUUCGGAGUAAAGCUACGGCGCUUUGGGAACGGCCUGCGCAUGAUUAGCUUGUUGGUGAGGUAAAAGCUCACCAAGGCGACGAUCAUUAGCUGGUCUGAGAGGAUGAUCAGCCAGACUGGGACUGAGAACGGCCCAGACUCCUACGGGAGGCAGCAGUAGGGAAUUUUCCACAAUGGGCGAAAGCCUGAUGGAGCAACGCCGCGUGCAGGAUGAAGGCUUUCGGGUCGUAAACUGCUUUAUCUGUGACGAAUAUGACGGUAGCAGAUGAAUAAGGAUCGGCUAACUCCGUG